UCUAGAUGCAAGAGAGGUAAAGUGGGGCUAAAAUACCAAUGUGAUCAAUCAGGCCCCGGUGCAAAGCAAACACACCGCCGGGUUUAAGUGAUGGGGUCGACUCGGAGAAGAUGUUAAUAAAGACGGAGAAGAGAGAGCGGCUGGAUGCCAGAGAUUUUCUGUCAAGAGCAGCGCUGAUCGGGCUUCUUCCAUCAGAAGACGAGCCGUUCGGUUUGAGUACGUCUCCACAACUCUCUGAUCCAGACUGAAUCCCUCUGAAGAGACCAUCAGAUCAGAAUCAUCAGGGUGCGCGAGGAAACCAGAGGCAUUCGGAGGUCCUGUUUUUCUCAUGCAUUGAACCCUGUGUGGUGUGGGAUUUCUAACCCAGCAUGGCUGGAUCUGGGCCAAACCCGUCCAGAGAAGAAGGACAGAAGACAAAUUCCACAACAGAUAUAAAUAGAGCAUUUAUUGUAUCCCCACUGCCAGGUCUCAGACAAUAGGCCCUCAUCAGAGUCUCUUAUUUGACCUCUGACCUCUGUUUCCAGCCCUGAACUACACCAGAGACCUUGUCAGACAACAUGCUGGGGUUUCUAUUUGUGAUUCGCUGAUCAUGGGAAAUGGUUUUUGUUAGCUUAUUUAUUUAACAGUUGAUGUUUGGGCAAAUCUCAUGAAAACAGGUUCACCUCAAACGCAAAAGCUGUGAGAUCUAUCUAUCGAUUUAUCCAUCA